rnacentral:rRNA from 1 species
AAUCAACGCUGGCGGCGUGCCUCAGACAUGCAAGUCGAACGAUUAAAAGCUCUCUUCGGAGAGUGUAUAGAGUGGCGCACGGGUGAGUAACACGUAAGUAAUCUACCCUCGAGUGGGGAAUAACAACCGGAAACGGUUGCUAAUACCGCAUAAUGCAGCGGCACCGCAAGGGUGACAGUUGUUAAAAGAUUUAUCGCUUGAGGAGGAGCUUGCGGCAGAUUAGCUAGUUGGUAGGGUAACGGCUUACCAAGGCUACGAUCUGUAACCGGUCUAAGAGGACGGUCGGUCACACUGACACUGAAUAACGGGUCAGACUCCUACGGGAGGCAGCAGUCGGGAAUUUUGGGCAAUGGGCGAAAGCCUGACCCAGCAACGCCGCGUGAAGGAUGAAGUAUUCGGUAUGUAAACUUCGAAAGAAUAGGAAGAAUUAAUGACGGUACUAUUAUAAGGUCCGGCUAACUACGUGCAGCAGCCGCGGUAAAAGUCACGUCG